rnacentral:rRNA from 1 species
AGAGUUUGAUCAUGGCUCAGGAUGAACGCUGGCGGCGUGCCUAACACAUGCAAGUCGAGCGAAGCACUUAAGUUUGAUUCUUCGGAUGAAGACUUUUGUGACUGAGCGGCGGACGGGUGAGUAACGCGUGGGUAACCUGCCUCAUACAGGGGGAUAACAGUUAGAAAUGGCUGCUAAUACCGCAUAAGACCACAGUACUGCAUGGUACAGUGGUAAAAACUCCGGUGGUAUGAGAUGGACCCGCGUCUGAUUAGGUAGUUGGUGAGGUAACGGCCCACCAAGCCGACGAUCAGUAGCCGACCUGAGAGGGUGACCGGCCACAUUGGGACUGAGACACGGCCCAGACUCCUACGGGAGGCAGCAGUGGGGAAUAUUGCACAAUGGGCGAAAGCCUGAUGCAGCGACGCCGCGUGAAGGAUGAAGUAUUUCGGUAUGUAAACUUCUAUCAGCAGGGAAGAAAAUGACGGUACCUGACUAAGAAGCCCCGGCUAACUACGUGCCAGCAGCCGCGGUAAUACGUAGGGGGCAAGCGUUAUCCGGAAUUACUGGGUGUAAAGGGAGCGCAGGCGGGCGAUCAAGUUGGAAGUGAAAUCCAUGGGCUCAACCCAUGAACUGCUUUCAAAACUGGUCGUCUUGAGUAGUGCAGGGGUAGGCGGAAUUCCCGGUGUAGCGGUGGAAUGCGUAGAUAUCGGGAGGAACACCAGUGGCGAAGGCGGCCUACUGGGCACCAACUGACGCUGAGGCUCGAAAGUGUGGGUAGCAAACAGGAUUAGAUACCCUGGUAGUCCACACCGUAAACGAUGAUUACUAGGUGUUGGGAGAUUGACCCCCUCAGUGCCGCAGUUAACACAAUAAGUAAUCCACCUGGGGAGUACGACCGCAAGGUUGAAACUCAAAGGAAUUGACGGGGGCCCGCACAAGCAGUGGAGUAUGUGGUUUAAUUCGACGCAACGCGAAGAACCUUACCAAGUCUUGACAUCCCUUGACGAUGCUGGAAACAGUAUUUCUCUUCGGAGCAAGGAGACAGGUGGUGCAUGGUUGUCGUCAGCUCGUGUCGUGAGAUGUUGGGUUAAGUCCCGCAACGAGCGCAACCCUUAUGGUCAGUUACUACGCAAGAGGACUCUGGCCAGACUGCCGUUGACAAAACGGAGGAAGGUGGGGAUGACGUCAAAUCAUCAUGCCCUUUAUGACUUGGGCUACACACGUACUACAAUGGCGUUAAACAAAGAGAAGCAAGACCGCGAGGUGGAGCAAAACUCAGAAACAACGUCCCAGUUCGGACUGCAGGCUGCAACUCGCCUGCACGAAGUCGGAAUUGCUAGUAAUCGUGGAUCAGCAUGCCGCGGUGAAUACGUUCCCGGGCCUUGUACACACCGCCCGUCACACCAUGAGAGCCGGGGGGACCCGAAGUCGGUAGUCUAACCGCAAGGAGGACGCCGCCGAAGGUAAAACUGGUGAUUGGGGUGAAGUCGUAACAAGGUA